rnacentral:rRNA from 1 species
AUUGAACGCUGGCGGCAGGCUUAACACAUGCAAGUCGAGCGGGGACUUCGGUCCUAGCGGCGAACGGGUGAGGAAUGCUUGGGAAUCUGCCCAGUAGCGGGGGAUAACGUUUCGAAAGGAACGCUAAUACCGCAUACGCCUUACGGGGGAAAGGGGGGGAUCUUCGGACCUCUCACCAUUGGAUGAGCCCAAGUCGGAUUAGCUAGUUGGUGGGGUAAAGGCCUACCAAGGCGACGAUCCGUAGCUGGUCUGAGAGGAUGAUCAGCCACACUGGAAAUGAGACACGGUCCAGACUCCUACGGGAGGCAGCAGUGGGGAAUAUUGGACAAUGGGCGAAAGCCUGAUCCAGCCAUGCCGCGUGUGUGAAGAAGGCCUUCGGGUUGUAAAGCACUUUAGGCGAGGAGGAAUGGCUGAGGGUUAAUAACCUUCAGCAGUGACGUUACUCGCAGAAUAAGCACCGGCUAACUCUGUGCCAGCCGCCGCGGUAA